rnacentral:rRNA from 1 species
UACGAAGGGGGCUAGCGUUGCUCGGAAUCACUGGGCGUAAAGGGUGCGUAGGCGGGUCUUUUAAGUCAGGGGUGAAAUCCUGGAGCUCAACUCCAGAACUGCCUUUGAUACUGAGGAUCUUGAGUCCGGGAGAGGUGAGUGGAACUGCGAGUGUAGAGGUGAAAUUCGUAGAUAUUCGCAAGAACACCAGUGGCGAAGGCGGCUCACUGGCCCGGUACUGACGCUGAGGCACGAAAGCGUGGGGAGCAACAGG